CGGGGAGGGCGUGGCGCGGCGCAGCCAUCUUGGCGCGGAGGGGCCGCGGGGCCGGUGCCGCCGCCCGCCAUGCGGGGCCCGGCGCCCGGCCGGGAGCUGCCGGAGGACGCGGAGAACGAGGACGAUGUCUCGGAAGAAGAUGAUGGGGUUCUGGAAGGACUGGAGGAGUUUUUUGCAGAAGAGCAAGUUGCUGUGCAGAAGAAAAAGAAACCCAAGAAGCUGAAGGAUGGCAAAGCUGCCAAAAUCAAGCGGCGGAAGAAGGAGGGGAGCAAUGAUGAAAUGUCAGACAAUGAAGAGGAGAUCGAGGAGAAAUCUGAGAGUGAAGGGAGUGACUAUUCCCCCAACAAAAAGAAGAAGAAAAAACUGAAGGACAAGAAGGAGAAAAAGCCAAAACGGAAGAAGAAGGAUGAUGAGGAGGAUGACGAGGAUGGAAGUCUAAAGGAGCCCAAGAGCUCAGCCCAGCUGAUGGAAGAAUGGGGCCUCGAUGAUGUCGAUUACAUGUUCUCAGAAGAAGAUUACCAUACCCUGACUAACUACAAGGCUUUCAGCCAGUUCCUCAGGCCUCUGAUCGCCAAGAAGAACCCCAAGAUCCCCAUGUCCAAGAUGAUGACGGUGCUGGGCGCCAAGUGGCGAGAGUUCAGCGCCAACAACCCGUUCAAGGGCAGCUCGGCAGCUGCGGCGGCCGCAGCCAUUGCUGCAGCUGUGGAGACCGUCACCGUGGCCCCACCGCUCGCCGCCAGCCCCCCACCAGCCUUGCCCACUGUCAUCAGGAAGGCAAAGACCAAGGAGGGCAAGGGUCCAGGCGUGCGGAAGAAAAUCAAGGGCUCCAAAGAUGGGAAGAAAAAGGGGAAGGGGAAAAAGAUGGCAGGCUUGAAAUUCCGGUUUGGAGGAAUCCCCAGCAAAAGGAAAAAGGGCUCCUCUAGCGAAGAGGAGGAACGGGAGGAAUCCGACUUCGACAGUGCCAGCAUCAACAGCUCCUCAGUGCGCUCCGAGUGCUCGGCUGGCCUGGGGAAGAAAGGGAAGAGGAGGAGAAAGAAAAAGAGGAUGGAAGAAGGGGACGGCUACGAGACGGACCACCAGGACUACUGCGAGGUGUGCCAGCAAGGAGGGGAGAUCAUCCUGUGCGACACGUGUCCCCGUGCCUACCACCUUGUGUGCCUUGACCCCGAGCUGGAGAAGGCCCCCGAGGGCAAGUGGAGCUGCCCCCACUGCGAGAAGGAGGGCAUCCAGUGGGAGCCGAAGGAGGAGGAGGAGGAGGAAGAGGAAGGCGGCGAUGAGGAGGAGGAUGACCACAUGGAGUUCUGCCGGGUGUGUAAGGAUGGAGGGGAGCUGCUGUGCUGUGAUACCUGCCCAUCCUCCUACCACCUCCACUGCCUGAACCCGCCGCUGCCGGAGAUACCGAACGGCGAAUGGCUCUGCCCUCGCUGCACAUGCCCUCCCUUGAAGGGCAAAGUCCAACGCAUCCUGCACUGGGCCUGGAAAGAGCCGCCGGCCGCCCCGCUGCCGCCCAUGCUGCCCGCCCCGGGCACGGAGCUGCCUCUGCCCGCACCCAAGGUGCUGGGGGGGAUCCCGGAGCGCGAGUUCUUUGUGAAGUGGGCAGGUCUGUCCUACUGGCACUGCUCCUGGGUCAAGGAGCUGCAGCUGGAGCUCUACCACACCGUGAUGUACCGCAACUACCAACGGAAGAACGACAUGGACGAGCCGCCGGCCUUCGACUACGGCUCUGGGGACGAGGACAGCCAGAGGGAGAAGCGGAAGAACAAAGACCCCCAUUAUGCCAAGAUGGAGGAGCGGUUCUACCGCUACGGCAUCAAGCCCGAGUGGAUGAUGAUCCACCGCAUCCUGAACCACAGCUUCGAUAAAAAGGGAGAUGUCCAUUACCUGAUCAAGUGGAAGGACCUGCCCUACGACCAGUGCACAUGGGAGAUCGAUGAGAUAGACAUCCCCUACUAUGAGAACCUCAAACACCUCUACUGGAACCACAGGGAGCUGAUGCUGGGGGAGGACACGCGCCCUCUGAAGAAGCUGAACAAGAAAGGGAAAAAGCUGAAAGAGGAGAAGCUGGAAAAGCCUCCAGAAACACCUCUCGUGGAUCCUACGGUGAAGUUCGACAAGCAGCCGUGGUACAUCGACACCACGGGCGGCACGCUCCAUCCUUACCAGCUGGAAGGGCUGAACUGGCUGAGGUUUUCCUGGGCCCAAGGGACAGAUACAAUCCUGGCUGAUGAGAUGGGGCUGGGGAAGACUGUGCAGACGAUUGUGUUCUUGUACUCCCUGUACAAGGAGGGCCACUCGAAAGGGCCGUAUCUGGUCAGUGCCCCUCUCUCCACCAUCAUCAACUGGGAGCGUGAGUUCGAGAUGUGGGCACCCGACUUCUAUGUCGUGACCUACACGGGGGACAAGGAAAGCCGGUCGGUCAUCCGGGAGAAUGAGUUUUCCUUUGAAGACAAUGCCAUCCGCAGCGGGAAGAAGGUCUUCAGGAUGAAGAAGGAAGCGCAGAUCAAGUUCCAUGUUCUUCUCACCUCCUAUGAGCUGAUCACUAUUGACCAGGCGGUGCUGGGCUCCAUAGAAUGGGCCUGUCUGGUGGUGGAUGAAGCGCACAGGCUGAAGAACAACCAGUCCAAAUUCUUCAGAGUAUUAAAUAGCUACAAGAUCGACUACAAGCUGCUGCUCACCGGGACCCCGCUCCAGAACAACUUGGAAGAGCUCUUCCACCUCCUCAAUUUCCUGACUCCCGAGAGGUUUAAUAACCUGGAGGGCUUCCUGGAGGAGUUUGCAGACAUCUCCAAGGAGGACCAGAUCAAAAAGCUCCACGACCUGCUGGGUCCCCACAUGCUGCGGCGGCUCAAGGCAGACGUGUUCAAGAACAUGCCAGCCAAGACAGAGCUGAUCGUGAGAGUGGAGCUGAGCCAGAUGCAGAAGAAGUACUACAAGUUCAUACUGACAAGGAAUUUCGAAGCCCUGAAUUCAAAAGGUGGUGGGAACCAGGUCUCGCUGCUCAACAUCAUGAUGGACCUGAAGAAGUGCUGCAAUCACCCCUACCUCUUCCCUGUGGCAGCGGUGGAAGCCCCAGUUCUGCCCAAUGGAUCCUACGAUGGGAAUUCUUUGGUCAAAUCUUCUGGCAAACUGAUGCUGCUCCAGAAGAUGCUGAAGAAGUUACGGGAUGGGGGUCACAGAGUCCUGAUCUUCUCCCAGAUGACGAAGAUGCUGGACCUGCUGGAGGAUUUCCUGGAGUACGAAGGCUACAAGUACGAGCGGAUAGACGGGGGCAUCACCGGCGGCCUGCGCCAGGAGGCCAUAGACAGGUUUAACGCUCCUGGUGCUCAGCAGUUCUGCUUUCUCCUCUCUACCCGCGCCGGUGGUCUGGGCAUAAACCUUGCUACGGCCGACACAGUCAUUAUUUAUGAUUCUGACUGGAAUCCCCACAAUGACAUCCAGGCGUUCAGCCGCGCUCACCGCAUCGGGCAGAACAAGAAGGUGAUGAUCUACCGCUUCGUGACCAGAGCCUCCGUUGAGGAGCGCAUCACGCAGGUGGCCAAGAGGAAGAUGAUGCUCACCCACCUGGUCGUCCGCCCGGGGCUCGGCUCCAAGUCGGGCUCCAUGACCAAGCAGGAGCUGGAUGACAUCCUCAAGUUUGGCACAGAAGAGCUCUUCAAGGAUGAUGUGGAAGGCAUGGUGUCGCAGGGGCAGCGCAUCGCCAUGCCAGAUGCUGUCCCCCCUUUCUCCGACGCGCUGUCGACCAAAGGGGGUGCGGUGACUCCCGGCAUGAAGAAGAAGCACGGUGGCACCCCACCAGGUGACAACAAGGACGUGGAUGACAGCAGCGUGAUCCACUACGACGAUGCUGCCAUCUCGAAGCUGCUGGACCGAAACCAGGAUGCGACCGAUGACACGGAGCUGCAGAACAUGAACGAGUAUCUCAGCUCCUUUAAAGUGGCCCAGUAUGUUGUGAGAGAAGAGGACGGUGUGGAGGAGGUGGAACGUGAGAUUAUCAAGCAAGAGGAGAAUGUGGACCCUGACUACUGGGAGAAGCUGCUGCGGCACCACUAUGAGCAGCAGCAGGAAGAUCUGGCCAGGAACUUGGGGAAAGGGAAGAGAAUCCGCAAGCAGGUCAACUACAACGACACCUCGCAGGAGGACCAAGAGUGGCAGGACGAGCUCUCUGACAACCAGUCUGAGUAUUCCAUCGGCUCUGAGGAUGAGGAUGAAGACUUUGAAGACAGGCCAGAAGGUGGCAGGAGACAAUCCCGCAGACAGCUGAAGAGUGACCGGGACAAGCCUCUCCCUCCUUUGCUGGCAAGAGUUGGGGGCAACAUCGAGGUUCUUGGCUUCAACGCCCGCCAGCGCAAGGCUUUCCUGAACGCCAUCAUGCGCUGGGGGAUGCCGCCCCAGGAUGCCUUCAACUCCCACUGGCUGGUCCGGGACCUGCGAGGGAAGAGCGAGAAGGAGUUCAGGGCCUACGUCUCCCUCUUCAUGAGGCAUUUGUGUGAACCCGGGGCAGACGGUGCCGAAACCUUUGCGGAUGGUGUUCCCCGGGAAGGGCUGUCACGCCAGCAUGUGCUCACUCGGAUUGGGGUCAUGUCACUUGUAAGGAAGAAGGUCCAGGAGUUUGAGCAUGUCAAUGGCAAAUACAGCACCCCUGAUCUGAUUCUCGAUGGCCCGGACAGCAAGAAGUCCAGUGAGAUUGUGUCUUCGGAUCCCAACACCCCCAUCCCGGCCAGCCCAGCACACACAGGACCUCUCUCCCUCACUGACAAAAUAGAAACACAACUCGGGUUCCAGGAGGAAAGGGAGCAAGCGGAGCAGAAGUGCAGGAAGGUGUCUGAGAGCCAGGUGCCUGUGAGUGCUGAGAAGGUGGAAGGUGAAGAGCACCCAGAAAGCUGCGACAGCAAGGAGAAACCGAGGGAUGAGAAGCAAGAGGAGGGUGAAAGGGCUGCGCCUUCUCCUGAGCCCCUGGUGAAAGGUGAGGGGAUUCAAGAGAAAGAGAAGCCUUUGGAGAAGCUGGAGUUGAACAGCAGCCCAGGGAAAGGGGAGGACAAGGAAGUCAAAGCAGAGGAUGCCAAGGCGGAGGAGAAGGAGCAAAGUGAGGCUCAGCAAAAUGGUGACAAAGAGGAAGAGGAGGACGGGAAGAAGGACGACAGAAACGUGAACUUCCGAUUCAUGUUCAACAUCGCUGACGGUGGCUUUACAGAGCUGCACACGCUGUGGCAGAACGAGGAGAGAGCUGCCAUCUCCUCGGGCAAGAUCUACGACAUCUGGCACCGCCGGCACGACUACUGGCUCUUGGCAGGAAUCGUCACUCACGGCUAUGCCCGCUGGCAGGACAUCCAGAACGACCCACGCUACGUGAUCCUGAACGAGCCCUUCAAGUCGGAGAUACACAAGGGGAACUACCUUGAGAUGAAGAACAAGUUCCUUGCCCGGCGGUUCAAGGCGAGUUGCAGGUCCAGGGCUGUUGCUGGAGCAGGCCCUGGUGAUCGAGGAGCAGCUGCGGAGGGCAGCGUACCUCAACAUGACCCAAGACCCCAGUCACCCGGCCAUGGCCCUGAACGCCCGUCUGGCUGAAGUGGAGUGCCUUGCCGAGAGCCACCAGCACCUCUCCAAAGAGUCCCUGGCUGGGAACAAGCCCGCCAACGCCGUCCUGCACAAGGUGCUGAACCAGCUCGAGGAGCUGCUGAGCGACAUGAAGGCGGAUGUGACGCGCCUGCCCUCCAUGCUGUCCCGCAUCCCGCCCGUGGCCGCCCGGCUGCAGAUGUCGGAGCGGAGCAUCCUGAGCCGCCUGGCCACGCGUGGCGGGGAACCCCCUGUGCAGCAGGGCUCCUUCGGCUCGUCCCAGAUCUACAACAACAGCUUUGGGCCGAAUUUCCGAGGUCCCGGGCCGGGUGGGAUUGUCAACUACAGCCAGAUGCCUCUGGGGCCGUAUGUGACUGAUAUUUAGGUGUUCCCACGAUUUUCCCCCCAGCUCCCGUUUCCAGCUGAGCAGCCCCGGAGGAAGGGCAGGGGAAGGCGGCGUUGCCUGCGUGAGGAUGAGCUGCUGCCGGGUGCUCCCGCUUCAAGUGUGCUUCAAGCGCUGUGCCCCCCCCCGGGCCACCGGGACGGGGCUUCAUUUCGUGUACCUUCUUUUGCACUUUCUUAUUGAAGACUUGAAGAGUUUGUCUGGGCACGGCGGGCUGAGCGACGGGAGCUGGCGCCACAGUGUCCGUGUCCGGGUUCAGUGGCACGUGUGUGUGUGAGGGGAGGCCGGAUAGUCCAUGGGAUAGUCCAUAGGCCCAGGCACUCAUCCGGCACCGCUCCGGCUCCUGAGAUUCCCCAUCAGGUCCAUUUCUACGUCCUUGUGUGUUUGAGCAAGUGCAUGCCUGCUGCCAGCCCCGCGGCCGGAGCCCCACCAGCCCAGUGGGAGCAUCAGUGCAUCCAUGGGGAGCCCUGGCACCAGGGUCCGUGUGUGCCAGGCUCGGGGUGCGUGGAUGGAGGUGACACGGGUGGGAGGGAGGGGAUGGCUGGAGCUGGGAUGGGGCCACCCGUGAGCGUGGUGACACCGGUGCCCGAGGCUGGCGGCAGCCGUGAGCGAUGCCCCCGCGUUCCCUUCGUGCUCCGUGUGUCCCGGUUUCUGUUCUCUGUGUUUUAAUAAAUCCCUUGGGAAGGA